GACGAACGCUGGCGGCGUGCUUAACACAUGCAAGUCGAACGGAAAGGCCCUGCUUUUGUGGGGUGCUCGAGUGGCGAACGGGUGAGUAACACGUGAGUAACCUGCCCUUGACUUUGGGAUAACUUCAGGAAACUGGGGCUAAUACCGGAUAGGAGCUCCUGCUGCAUGGUGGGGGUUGGAAAGUUUCGGCGGUUGGGGAUGGACUCGCGGCUUAUCAGCUUGUUGGUGGGGUUGUGGCUUACCAAGGCUUUGACGGGUAGCCGGCCUGAGAGGGUGACCGGCCACAUUGGGACUGAGAUACGGCCCAGACUCCUACGGGAGGCAGCAGUGGGGAAUAUUGCACAAUGGGCGGAAGCCUGAUGCAGAAACGCCGCGUGCGGGAUGACGGCCUUCGGGUUGUAAACCGCUUUCGCCUGUGACGAAGCGUGAGUGACGGUAAUGGGUAAAGAAGCACCGGCUAACUACGUG
rnacentral:rRNA from 1 species